rnacentral:pre_miRNA from 1 species
CAAGUACUGGUCUCAGCAGACUGAAGAGAGCACCACAGUGGUCACCACACAGUCUGCUGAGGAUGGAGCUGU